rnacentral:lncRNA from 1 species
GGUUUCCAUUGGCCAGUGCAUGGUCAACAAAAGUCUGCUAGGAUAGACCCCCAGGGACACGAAGGGGGAGAAAACCUGCCAAUGACACCGUGUGCCCAGUGCUGCCCGAAGUGCUACUUGUCCACUUAAUCCUCAUGACAGCCCUAUGUGGUAGAUACCAUUUAGACAAGGCAUCUGAGGCACAGAGAGGUUAAAUGACUUACCCAAGGUCACACAGCAAGUAAAUGUGAUUCCAGUUUCCGGGGUCUAGCUUCAAAGCCCCAAAGUUACCUGUCAUGUGCCACAUCUCACCAUUAGAGGGUCUGUGUCCCUCUGGGAGCAGAGAGCACAGACAUGGUAAGCAAAUUCUUCACGCCUCCAACACUGACAGAAGGUAUAAGAAGAUUCCAACCCGCACACAAAGAGUGUGAGGCAAACGCAGCCAGAAGCCCAACCCUCCCGGGAGGGACACCAGUCGGGGAAUACCUUGUUGGACAUAGCAGCUGUCCAAGUGAGGGAAGCUUGGGUCUGGACAGCAGCAGUGGGGCAGGCAAGCUGGGCUGGGAAAGUGGGAUGGACUUGACCAGACUUUGGUGGACUGAGAGCCAGUGGAACGUAGUGGCCAAAGGCGUGGAUCCCUGAGCCAGCCCAAGUGUGUGUCCUCUUUCUCAACCUCAGUUUUCUUGCCUGAGGAAGUGCCAACUAUGGUCACCAUCAUGGGAAUGAAGAAGGGAAAGGUCUAGAAUGAUCCUCAAGUUUCUAACCUGGGACGACGAUGGUGUCUCGCUUUGUCUUUAUUGAUUAACCAUGUUGCUGACAUCAUAAACCUGGACUGAUAUUUGCUUUACCCCACAGAACUGAAUGUUUAAUUGGCCAUGACAUAGUUUAAAAUAGCCCCAAGAGUAAAACCAAACUUAAGUCCCUGGGAAGGAGGCCACUUGCCCUGAUGUGGACAGAGAGGAGCUGACCUAGCAACGGCACUGAUGACAUGACAAGGGGGUGGGGGAAGAGCCAUCCCUGUGAGCGUGAGGAUAAAUACCCAGGCUCCGUACCAGGAGACCGUGUGGCCUUUAGUUUCUGGGGUUAGAACUAAUGACAAUCCUUGAUCUCAUGGUUCGUGGGAUCGAGCCCUGCCCUGGGCUCUACACUAAGAGCACAGAGCCUGCUUGAAAUUCUCUCUCUCCUUCUCUCCGCCCUUCCCCCCCAGCUCACGCACACAUGCUCACUUUUUCUCUCUCUCAAAAUAAAUCAAUAAAUGUCAAAAAAAAAUAACUGAUG